rnacentral:rRNA from 1 species
AUUGAACGCUGGCGGCAGGCCUAACACAUGCAAGUCGAACGAGUGGCGGACGGGUGAGUAAUGUCUGGGAACCUGCCCGAUGGAGGGGGAGAACUACUGGAAACGGUAGCUAAUACCGCAUACAAUCGGAUGUGCCCAGAUGGGAUGAGCUAGUAGGUGGGGUAACGGCUCCCCUAGGCGACGAUCCCUAUCUGGUCUUGGAGGAUGACCCGCCACACUGGAACGGAGACACGGUCCAGACGCCUACGGUAGGCAGCAGUGGGGAAUAUUGCACAAUGGGCGCAAGCCUGAUGCAGCCAUGCCGCGUGUAUGAAGAAGGCCUGCGGGUUGUAAAGUACUUUCAGCGAGGAGGCGUUACUCGCAGAAGAAGCACCGGCUAACUCCGUGCCAGCAGCCGCGGUAAUAC